rnacentral:tRNA from 1 species
CGCGCCAUCUUCUAACAGGUGUAGGAAGUAGCCCUUUCAAGGCUAAAAUGCGAGUUCGAGUCUCGCUGGCGUGACCA